UCUGUCUUAUUCUUACACGCGAACUACCUUCGUCUCUCCCAUCUCUCUCUCUAGAAAUUAUUUCUUUUUGUUUUCCUCAUUUUCUCUCUCUAUUCUUCCGCCUGGAGUUCCGAACCACAGUUUCUACCGCCGGCAGCUGUUUAUAUACACCGCCGGAGAAAGACUUGACCACUCGUUUACAGUCCAUCGCGACAUUAACUGAAAAGGA
rnacentral:lncRNA from 1 species